AGUGGGAUAGCUGGAUCAAAUGGUGGUUACAUUCCAAGUUUUCUGAGGAAUCUCCAUAUUACUUUCCAGAGUGGUUGCACCAAUUUAAAGUCUCACCAGCAAU
rnacentral:pre_miRNA from 1 species